rnacentral:hammerhead_ribozyme from 1 species
AUCCAGAUGAAGAGUCCCAAACAGGACGAAACAGAAAUCCUAGAU